rnacentral:rRNA from 1 species
GAGACGAUCAGCCAUAUACUUCUGGAGUGCGUUUUUGCUAGAACGGUGUGGCAUGAGGUCCAUCAUGCUUUAGGCAGGCCAGAUUGGGUGCCAAUGGCGGCGGACACCUUGAGCGCUUGGUGCCAAAACAAGAACCCUACGGACGAAAGAUUGAAGGACGACUGGGCGAUCUUAGUAUUGGUCUUCUGGGAGCUAUGGAAGCAUAGAAAUGGCAUUGUGUUUGACGGGGAGUCUCCAUCCCUUACCCGAACUGGGACUAGGAUUUUGGACGAGGGGAGAACUUGGGCUCAAGCCGGUAUCCUCAAAGGGGACAUGGACGGUUUCUUUAUUGGGUUGUCGCGGUGGGUGUAUCGUGAGUAG